rnacentral:rRNA from 1 species
CCCUUAGAUGUUCUGGGCCGCACGCGCGCUACAAUGAUGAAUUCAACGAGUCUAUAACCUUGGUUGAAAAGCCUGGGUAAUCUUUUGAACUUUCGUCGUGAUGGGGCUAGACCCUUGCAAUUAUUGGUCUCCAACGAGGAAUUCCUAGUAAACGCAAGUCAUCAGCUUGCAUUGAUUACGUCCCUGCCCUUUGUACACACCGCCCGUCGCACCUACCGAUUGAAUGGUCCGGUGAAAUCUUCGGAUUGAGACUUUGAUUUCUUCACGGAAAACGCUGUUUUAAAAAGUUGAUUAAACCUUACCAUUUAGAGGAAGGUGAAGUCGUAACA